GAUGAAGAACGUAGCGAAAUGCGAUAAGUAGUGUGAAUUGCAGAAUUCAGUGAAUCAUCGAAUCUUUGAACGCACAUUGCGCCCCUUGGUAUUCCAUGGGGCAUGCCUGAUCGAGCGUCAUUUGUACCUUCAAGCUUUGCUUGGUGUUGGGUGUUUGUCUCGCCUUUGCGUGUAGACUCGCCUUAAAAUAAUUGGCAGCCGGCGUAUUGAUUUCGGAGCGCAGUACAUCUCGCGCUUUGCACUCAUAACGACAGCGUCCAAAAGUACAUUUUACACUCUUGACCUCGGAUCAGGUAGGGAUACCCGCUGAACUUAAGCAUAUCAAUAAGCGGAGGA
rnacentral:misc_RNA from 1 species